GGCCAGGUGAGAAAGGAGGACCCCUUAGAUUUCAAUAAUUUUUUGCUCAAUAAUGCAACCAAUGUUGGAGAUGCUACUGCUGGUUUUUCUUGUUUUGGCAAGGUCAAACUACGGAGAAAUGACGGGUCAAAGGUCAAGGUCAUUUUUAGCGGACCCUUUCGAUUCACAUAUAAAUUUUUAUCCCAAUACAAUUUUUAAUGCUGGUUAUUAUUCUGCGUAUUGUUAGGCUUGGCAGGUCUUAAAUUAUUUUAAAAUAUUUAAAUAAUUUAACCUUUAAUUCACCUAUCCCAACAUGGCUACCGUGCGAGCACCUAUCAAAACCUUGAUGAAAAUAACAAACCGAAAAUCUGAGAAACGCGAUUUGACCUUGGACGUGCCCCGCGUGCCCCGUGCCAGUGCACUGGCCUUAGGGGUGCUGAAGAACUUGAUUUGUUGAGCUCUGUGCCGCCGAGGAGACCGUGCGCCGCGAGCUGCCGCCCGAGGACCGGCCGGCGCUGACCCGGCUGUCACCUCUAACUGACGGCGCGCUGUCGCUUCGUCCUCCGACCCUGCGCCGGCCGUGCCGGGAGGCCGAGCUGCUGACCCAGCUGCAGCAGCUGGCGGUGGCCCUGGACGGCGCCUGCCCCCUGGUGUUGGAUGGCAGCUGCGGGAGCCACGUGACGCCGUCUGCGCUUUUGGCGCCAGGAGAGCUUGACGCUGCUGCGAGCACUACAGGGCUACUAGCGGUCUCUGAAUGGAGCUGCGUUCCGGUGGGCGGCUGGCUGCGCUCUCUCGGUCUGGCCCAGUACGCCGACGCGUUCGUCGCCCGCUCUGUGGAUGGCGCCCGGCUUCUGGGGCUCACCGAACAGGCUAUGGAAGACGAGCCCGACAUCGGUCUCGACGUGGCGACCUCGAAGCCGGCGUGUUGGGUCUCGGCUUCCCGCCACUCACUGGCGGACCUUUCCGCUUCGUGGACCGCAUCGGUCCCGCACAGCUAGUCAAGGACAUGGAGCGCUUCGCCGUCGUCAGUGGCGUCGGCUUCGAGCCGUGCCUGACCGUGCACUACCAGGCCGCUAGCGGCACCAAGUUCUGUUCGGCCGGGCCUCGUGUAAUGCCCACAUGUGAUGACCGAGUGUAUACGCAUGUGAAGCCGCUCCGCGUGUGUGCCAGCGCUGGGCGUGUUCAGUUUCAAAGUAAAUAUAGAACCCUGGUGAUGAA